ACAGGAGUGGGUGGGUGAGGUUCUGUGGCCUGCAGUAUGCAGGAGGUCAGACUAGGUGAUCAUAAAGGUCCCUCUGACCUCAAAGUCUAUGCAUCUUCUUUUAAGAAUGAA